rnacentral:misc_RNA from 1 species
CGAAAUAUCGGGGUUAAUUGAAGAAUUCGGGCGAAAAAAGUGCAUGAAAGUCAAGUUCUAGUGCUCGGGAAUGAGUGAGAAUAUAAGGAAUAGUGGAGCUCGCUGGAAUAAAUGCGAGAGAAGUGAUAGAAUGUGCUGUGUGUGAAAAGUGAGGUAAGGGACAGAGCGGAGGCCAUCUUGGGUCGUGCGACUGAAGCGCCACCGUGCGGGCUACCUGGGUAACCAAGGAGUGGUAGAGAGCGCCUCCGUGGAGUGCCAGUUAAGACUCCCCUCGUCGAAUAGUGAUAGUGACUUUGCGAGGUUAAUAUUUACCCUCCGCGGACAGCGCAUCGUCAGCGGGCAGGAAUCGGUGGAUUUUCACUAACCGAGGCAAAGAAGGAGAGCACAGGCCACGGAUACAGUGUGAUUAUACGACGACCGGCUACGUCAACGGACAUUUCCCUUUUAUACAUAUAUAUGUCGGAGAUGAAAGAACACCGGAAUCCCUCCUUGGAUUC